AGGACGAACGCUGGCGGCGUGCUUAACACAUGCAAGUCGAGCGAACCUUCGGGUUAGCGGCGAACGGGUGAGUAACACGUGGGCAACCUGCCCCGAGCUCUGGGAUAACUCCGGGAAACCGGGGCUAAUACCGGAUAUGACCCGAGAAGACAUCUUCUCGGGUGGAAAGUUUUUCGGCUCGGGAUGGGCCCGCGGCCUAUCAGCUUGUUGGUGGGGUAACGGCCUACCAAGGCGACGACGGGUAGCCGGCCUGAGAGGGCGACCGGCCACACUGGGACUGAGACACGGCCCAGACUCCUACGGGAGGCAGCAGUGGGGAAUAUUGCGCAAUGGGCGAAAGCCUGACGCAGCGACGCCGCGUGAGGGAUGAAGGCCUUCGGGUUGUAAACUCCUUUCAGCAGGGACGAAGCGAGAGUGACGGUACCUGCAGAAGAAGCGCCGGCUAACUACGCGCCAGCAGGC
rnacentral:rRNA from 1 species